UUCUUUUAAAUUCUCAACUCUCUGCAAUGUUCUCCUUGCUCUCUUUAUUCUUUUUCAUUGAUCAAGCAUUAAAAAUUUUCAGAUGGGCUGCCAUAGCCUCCCAAAUACCAAGAGAAACGGAUAAUGAGCACAUAAUCAGCCUUCGCAAUAAGGGAUUCAUAGUGACUAAUUUCGGAACUUUUGAAUAAAGAGGCUUCUUUUGAAGUUGGCCACAUUGCUAACAUUGUAGGUCUCUUUCAAUAUUUUUCAAUACAAUUCCAGAGUUAAUUUUCUCCAGGUGAUAUAUACACUCAAAUUACAUUGUUAUGCACUCGUAAUAACGAAAACAAUUGAUUCAACAAGGCAUAAUCACACGAUGUUUCUAAUGCAAAUAAAUUCCCAAUCCACAAACUUCACUGUACAACUUUAAUAUAA